AUGUUUGAGUUGGUUAGAUGGAGCAUAAAUGCCGUCAGCAAAUAUGUUAUCAGCGAGAUACUAGAUGCAUGGGAGUUGACUACAUAUGUUGUGGCUAAGAUCGAUAGAAGAGAGAAGAAGUUCGAAGUGCAUUGUGAGCUGAAGGAAGGUUCUUUGUACAGGAUCAGUUGCUCUUGUCGUAAGCUGGAGUGCUUGGGAACACCAUGCUCUCACAUAUUCUACAUCUUGGGAAUACGUCAAGUGGAAUUGCUGCCUAGGUGUUGUGUUCCCAUGAGGUGGACGAUGAGUGCAAAGUCUGCAUUCCCUCCGACCAGAAAGAGCGAGAUGUAUGACUAUUCUAAAAGCCUUGUGAGGUACCGUGAGUUGUGGAAUUUGAGUCACGCGGCAUGUUUCCGGGCAUGUCAACCCAGUGAGGAGUAUCAGCGUCUGAAGAUGGUUCUGAAUGGACAAGAUGGCAGCAAGGAAUCAAGCCGUGGUCAGGAGGAAUGCAUUAGGUUUGGUCCGGUGCUGCCACAGACGACGGAAAUUGAUUGUGGAGAUUUGGAAAAGGUUCUAGACCCAAUGCAUGUGCAAGGCCGAGGUGCACCGAAGAAAAGGUUGCAGGCAAAGAUGAAGAAGCAAAGAUCAAAGAGGAAAUGUGGCUACUAUGGGGUGACAGGCCAUGAUCGGCGUAAUUGCACUAAACUGCAAGAGGAAAUGAUGGCAGCAAACUGUUAG
rnacentral:rRNA from 1 species